UGCAUUCAGAUCAGGAGUGCUGUCUCGAUGAAGGGAUUCUUCUUCAUUCUCAUUUUGAUGACAAGUAUUUUUUAAAGGUUACUCAGGAGUCACGCAGAAGGCCUGAACCACAGCUCUGCUCCCAGAGGCUGUACAGUCACACAGCAAACAACAGUGCCAAACGUUCCCUACAUGGCGUGGCGGCGUGGCGGAGGCCUCUGGGCUGCAGCUGCACAGGGUCAGAUAUCACGCCAGGCUCCAAGUGACGGGGACAUCAGCGAGAGUCGGACUCGGGUCAGAGCCAUACGCAUUCUGACGGCCCCGCUGUCGGUGGUCUCACGCGGACCCUUGCUGGAUCACUAAGCCUUGACAAGUCCCACCUCCACAUUUCCUGGCUCAUCAGAGUUUGUUCUCACUAUGCCGUGUCAUCAACCACAGCGUCCUCUGGUAUUCGUGCCAUAGAUACGUCUAUGAAUGGCUGUUACCCUUAUGUAGCAUCAAAAUAUGUAUGUUUGUCUGAUGUAACCAUUUUACUCUUACCAAACUGUGGGGGCAACGGAUUUGUUGUUAUUUAUAGCUGUCAUAAAACACCAUCCCUUAAA